rnacentral:rRNA from 1 species
GGUGAUGCAGAGCUUGCUCUGCUGAUCAGUGGCGAACGGGUGAGUAACACGUGAGUAACCUGCCCUUGACUCUGGGAUAAGCGCUGGAAACGGCGUCUAAUACCGGAUACGACCUUCCCCGGCAUCGGGUGGGGGUGGAAAGAUUUUUUGGUCAAGGAUGGACUCGCGGCCUAUCAGCUUGUUGGUGAGGUAAUGGCUCACCAAGGCGACGACGGGUAGCCGGCCUGAGAGGGUGACCGGCCACACUGGGACUGAGACACGGCCCAGACUCCUACGGGAGGCAGCAGUGGGGAAUAUUGCACAAUGGGCGAAAGCCUGAUGCAGCAACGCCGCGUGAGGGAUGACGGCCUUCGGGUUGUAAACCUCUUUUGGCAGGGAAGAAGCGAAAGUGACGGUACCUGCAGAAAAAGCACCGGCUAACUACGUGCCAGCAGCCGCGGUAAUACGUAGGGUGCGAGCGUUGUCCGGAAUUAUUGGGCGUAAAGAGCUCGUAGGCGGUUUGUCGCGUCUGCUGUGAAAUCCCGAGGCUCAACCUCGGGCCUGCAGUGGGUACGGGCAAACUAGAGUGCAGUAGGGGAGACUGGAAUUCCUGGUGUAGCGGUGGAAUGCGCAGAUAUCAGGAGGAACACCGAUGGCGAAGGCAGGUCUCUGGGCUGUAACUGACGCUGAGGAGCGAAAGCGUGGGGAGCGAACAGGAUUAGAUACCCUGGUAGUCCACGCCGUAAACGUUGGGCGCUAGAUGU